AGUACGUUUUCCAAAGAUAAUUGGAAAAGCAGUACGUGUACUAUUUACAACUCAGAAAUACACCCUGCUUUUACUGUUACACUAAUAGAAGAUAAAGUGUGUAAUGGCAAGAAAAACCUUAUCAAAAACUCAUAUUUACAAUGUUGCCAUUCUUAAUCCAAAAAAAAAAAGAUGUCUCUUUUCUCUCUCUCCCAGCAUCUGAUUCCAUCAUUCUUCUUCUUCGAGCAAUCUCUUCUCCACCAACAACAACAACCCAACUAAACUUUUUCUUCUCUCCCUCAGAUUCGCCACCUCCAAUUCUCUAUCAUCAAUCACGUCUUUAAAGUAGAUCGAUUGGAGAUUUGAACAAGAGAGAGAUGAAAGUUGUAGAGAUGGAACAAAAUUGCAGAGAUGGAGCGGAGAGAGAGAUGGAAUCUAGGGUUCCAAUAGAAACCAUCGAAGAAGACGAAGAGUUCGAUUGGGAAGCAGCAGUCAAAGAAAUCGACUUGGCUUGUCUUAAAACCUCCAAUGCUUCUUCUUCUUCCCAUUUCACUCCUUUGGCUCAUCCUCCAAUUACAUGAAAUAGCACUAAGCCUCAUGCGAGAAGACAAUCUACUCUCGAUAAAUUCAUCAGAAGAACCGAGCAUAAACCGGAGAAUCAAGUUGUUUCCGAGUCGAAUUUUGAUGAAUUUGAAUGUGGUGGUGGUAACGAUAAGAGUCCUUUAGUUGGGAUUGAUCCUGAGGCAGCUAAAACUUGGAUUUAUCCAGGUUUGGGAGAUUGUAACUUUUGAUAAAUCUUUGUAAGUUGGGAGUAGACUCGGUAGUGAACUGUUUCUGAUCUAACUGUUAGAGAAGAUGUUGUUGGUUACAUAUUUGGCAAAUGGUUUGGCUCUUGCUCUUGUUAGUUGUUUCGUUAAGAAGAUAAGUUUGAUUAUGUUAUUCACAUGAUGUGUGUUGUUUGAUUUCUCUAACUUAGGGAUGGUUCAGAGCCGAAUCUUCUUGUUGUAGCGAUUGGUUCUCAUAUCGAUGCUAUUCCAUAUUCCGGAAAGUAUGAUGGCGUUGUCGGUGUUGUAGAAAGUGAAGUUUAAGAUUGUGUUUCUUGAUGAUUUUUGUUGGGCUUUCUUUGUUUUCUUAAGGUUGGGGGUUAAACCGAAGAGAUCUCUGGAGAUAAUCUUGUUUACAUCUGAAGAACCAACCCGAUUUGGGAUCAGUUGUUUAGGAAGCUGCUUGCUUGCUGGAAGCAAAGAACUUACAGAAGUACUAAAGACUACAAUUUUUGAUGGCCAAAAUGUGUCCUUUAUAGAAGCAGCUAGAUCAACUGGAUACGCAGAAGAUAAAGAUGACGACUUAUCGAGUGUGUUCUUGAAGAAAGGAAGUUACUGUUUUGUGUGCCUUUUCUAGUUCUGAUUUCAUUCAUUGUGAUUGGAAGAUUUUAAAGAACCAGUACACAACACACAUAAUAUCCUACCAAUUCAGAUUUCA